UGAUUUAUCACAUAUAUUCUAUUAAACUCCACAACAAGCAAUAACUAUCAAUCAACAAGAGAAACUUGAAAUAUAGCAUCAUAACAUGGCAACUAAAUUUCUAAUUAUUCUUCCUAAAGAAACAACUGAAAAGAAAAGGAAACAACUGAAUUUCAAGUGUCUUUCUACCAACAUUCUAGAAGCUUCUUCUUCGAUGAAAACGGUAGUGUUCUUUUCUUUUCUUGGUUGAAGUUUCAUCCGAAGUUGUUUGAGUUUCAGAAGAUAUCUCUUUUCUCUUCUUUGGUGUUAAACUCAGCAUAACAUCCAAUGGUAAUGUUGACGAAUUCUUCACUGCUACUUCUUUCUUGUUGAAUCUUCUUCCCCUAGAACAAGAACCAGAAGUUUGAG
rnacentral:lncRNA from 1 species